GAGCUUUUAGUUUAUUUUAGAAUAACUUGUUUACAACAAGUGGGACUCUGCUUU
rnacentral:tRNA from 1 species